AAUGGGCGCAAGCCUGAUGCAGCCAUGCCGCGUGUAUGAAGAAGGCCUUCGGGUUGUAAAGUACUUUCAGCAGUGAGGAAGGUGGGUAUGUUAAUAGCAUACUCAUUUGACGUUAGCUGCAGAAGAAGCACCGGCUAACUCCGUGCCAGCAGCCGCGGUAAUACGGAGGGUGCGAGCGUUAAUCGGAAUUACUGGGCGUAAAGCGCAUGCAGGUGGUUUGUUAAGUCAGAUGUGAAAGCCCGGGGCUCAACCUCGGAAUUGCAUUUGAAAACUGGCAAACUAGAGUACUGUAGAGGGGGUAGAAUUUCAGGUGUAGCGGUGAAAUGCGUAGAGAUCUGAAGGAAUACCGGUGGCGAAGGCGGCCCCCUGGACAGAUACUGACACUCAGAUGCGAAAGCGUGGGGAGCAAACAGGAUUAGAUACCCUGGUAG
rnacentral:rRNA from 1 species